rnacentral:rRNA from 1 species
GGCAGAGGUGCCAAGCGUUAGGCGGAAUCACUGGGCUUAAAGGGUGCGUAGGUGGCGCUGUAAGUCGGGUGUGAAAUUUCGGAGCUUAACUCCGAAACUGCAUUCGAUACUGCGGUGCUUGAGGACUGGAGAGGAGACUGGAAUUCAUGGUGUAGCAGUGAAAUGCGUAGAGAUCAUGAGGAAGACCAGUGGCGAAGGCGGGUCUCUGGACAGUUCCUGACGCUGAGGCACGAAGGUCAGGGGAGCAAACGGG